UACAGAGGGCGCGAGCGUUGUCCGGAAUCACUGGGCGUAAAGGGCGCGUAGGUGGCCACUAUAAGGCCGCGGUGAAAGUUCGGGGCUCAACCCUGAAUCUGCCGCGGCGACUGUAGGGCUUGGGUACCGUAGAGGCAGAUGGAAUUCCGGGUGUAGCGGUGGAAUGCUUAGAGAUUACAUGGAAUACCAAUUGCGAAGGCAGGUUACUACUAAUGGAUUGACGCUGAUGGACGAAAGCGUGGGUAGCGAACAGG
rnacentral:rRNA from 1 species